rnacentral:rRNA from 1 species
GACGAACGCUGGCGGCGUGCUUAACACAUGCAAGUCGAACGGAAAGGCCCUGCUUUUGUGGGGUGCUCGAGUGGCGAACGGGUGAGUAACACGUGAGUAACCUGCCCUUGACUUUGGGAUAACUUCAGGAAACUGGGGCUAAUACCGGAUAGGAGCUCCUGCUGCAUGGUGGGGGUUGGAAAGUUUCGGCGGUUGGGGAUGGACUCGCGGCUUAUCAGCUUGUUGGUGGGGUAGUGGCUUACCAAGGCUUUGACGGGUAGCCGGCCUGAGAGGGUGACCGGCGACAUUGGGACUGAGAGACGGCCCAGACUCCUACGGGAGGCAGAAGGGGGGAAUAUUGAACAAUGGGAGGAAGCCUGAUGAAGAAACGCCGCGUGCGGGAUGACGGCCUGCGGGGUGUAAACCGCUUUAGCCUGUGACGAAGCGUGAGUGACGGUAAUGGGUAAAGAAGCACCGGCUAACUACGUG